rnacentral:tRNA from 1 species
GAGGGUAAAGCUCAGUGGUAGAGUGUGUGCUUAGCAUGCACAAGGUCCUGGGUUCAAUCCCCAGUACCUCCA